AGUGAACGCUGGCGGCAGGCCUAACACAUGCAAGUCGAGCGGCAGCGCGGGGGCAACCCUGGCGGCGAGCGGAGGACGGGUGAGGAAUUCGUCGGAAUCUGCCUGUUUGUGGGGGAUAACGUAGGGAAACUUACGCUAAUACCGCAUACGUCCUACGGGAGAAAGUGGGGGACCGCAAGGCCUCACGCAGAAAGAUGAGCCGACGACCGAUUAGCUAGUUGGUGGGGUAAAGGCCCACCAAGGCGACGAUCGGUAGCUGGUCUGAGAGGAUGAUCAGCCACACUGGGACUGAGACACGGCCCAGACUCCUACGGGAGGCAGCAGUGGGGAAUAUUGGACAAUGGGCGCAAGCCUGAUCCAGCCAUGCCGCGUGUGUGAAGAAGGCCUUCGGGUUGUAAAGCACUUUUGUCCGGAAAGAAAUCCCUGGAGCUAAUACCUUCGGGGGAUGACGGUACCGGAAGAAUAAGCACCGGCUAACUUCGUG
rnacentral:rRNA from 1 species